rnacentral:misc_RNA from 1 species
GAUGAAAAACGUAGCGAAAUGCGAUAAGUAAUGUGAAUUGCAGAAUUCAGUGAAUCAUCGAAUCUUUGAACGCACAUUGCGCCCGCCAGUAUUCUGGCGGGCAUGCCUGUUCGAGCGUCAUUUCAACCCUCAAGCUCAGCUUGGUGUUGGGACUCGCGGUAACCCGCGUUCCCCAAAUCGAUUGGCGGUCACGUCGAGCUUCCAUAGCGUAGUAAUCAUACACCUCGUUACUGGUAAUCGUCGCGGCCACGCCGUAAAACCCCAACUUCUGAAUGUUGACCUCGGAUCAGGUAGGAAUACCCGCUGAACUUAAGCAUAUCAAUAAGCGGAGGA